GACGAACGCUGGCGGCGUGCUUAACACAUGCAAGUCGAGCGAUGAAAUUCUCUUCGGAGAAUGGAUUAGCGGCGGACGGGUGAGUAACACGUGGGUAACCUGCCUUAUAGUGGGGGAUAGCCUUUCGAAAGGAAGAUUAAUACCGCAUAAUAUUGUAGUUUCGCAUGAAACAACAAUUAAAGAUUUAUCGCUAUAAGAUGGACCCGCGGCGCAUUAGCUAGUUGGUAAGGUAACGGCUUACCAAGGCGACGAUGCGUAGCCGACCUGAGAGGGUGAUCGGCCACAUUGGGACUGAGACACGGCCCAGACUCCUACGGGAGGCAGCAGUGGGGAAUAUUGCACAAUGGGGGAAACCCUGAUGCAGCAACGCCGCGUGAGUGAUGACGGUCUUCGGAUUGUAAAGCUCUGUCUUUAGGGACGAUAAUGACGGUACCUAAGGAGGAAGCCACGGCUAACUACGUG
rnacentral:rRNA from 1 species